GGCUGCAGGUCCAGGCUUAGGCAGCCUCAGUUUUCCAGAGAACCCAGUUCUGCAGAGGCGCAGAUGCAGACAGAUGACUGCUUUGGGAACUGCAAACCACUGGCCCCUGCAGCCCCUCUCUUGGACGGGGGUCACUGGAAGAGUGGGCCUAGGCUGGGGCCUGGCUGCUUGGAGAAGAUCCACCAGUGACCUAGCAGGGCUCAGAACUGGGGCUGGGCCCCGACAUUCCAAGUCAAUUCAGGACUCUCCUGGAGGAGAAGGGACCCAGAUUGUCCCCUGGAGUCACCAGCAUCUACGGCGACCUUCCCCAGCCGGUCUGCCCUGGAUCCUGGGGAUAGAGGGACAGCAUGGCAGGAAGUAGCCCACGCCACCUGGACAGGAACAAACCCACAGCCACCGGAGGAAGAGAGAGAAUGCCUGCAUGAUAAUCGUGGGGGCGGGGGCUCAGGGAGGCCUCUUUGAGGAGAUGGCCUUAACAUCUGAGAACUGAGAAGAAUUCAGCCUCACAAAGCCCAGGGACCCGGGUCCCCAGGAGGGAGAUGGGGCUGGGAGAUGCGGUGGAGUGGCCAGGUCAGGAGUGGCCCGCAGGAUUGGAGCCCAGGCCCGAACCUGGCAGGUCACCGGGGAGUCUCCUGCUUGUCCCAGAGCCAGUGUCAGUGAGAGCUGGGUGGCGGGGCCAGCGGGAGGCUGAGGGACCCAGGGUCCGGGAGUGUGGGAAGUGAGAGCAGCCUCUCCUUGGUUCCUCGGCAGCCCGGGGCCUCACCCCUGCAAGGUCUGGGUGGCCACCGCUUGCAGGGCCGUCCCUCUGGGAGUGGGUAGAGGGGACAGGGGACCCUGGGACAACCUUCGCCCCUCCGAAGGCAAGACCUUGUCGCGUUCAUGCUCCAGCCCUUUCCCAUCUGGGCUCCUCCUGUGUGCUGGGAGCGCGUGGCCUUCUGAGAACAGGGCAGCAUGGUGGACGGGCGAGCGCGGCACGGCGAGGUCCGAGCCCCCGGCUGCUCUCCCCAGCCCUGAGAAUGCAGGCUGCUCCAUAAGCUCUGUGGGCCUCAGGCUCCUGGUCUCUAGAAUGCAGCCAUGGGCAGGCUACCCAGAAGUGAGAUGCCUGCCCAAAAAAGCCCUGUGCCCAGCCCACAGCCAGCACUUGGUUCAUUGGGCCCCAGCUCAAAACCCCCCCGAGAGGCCUGCCCUGAGCACCGUCCCUGUCCCUGUGUGCCCUUUCAGUCACAAGUCAGCAGCACGCAGCCACCCACCGAGGCUGAGCCUCUUCAAAUUCGCUUCGAUGUUUGCCGCGCACUGACUCAGGUCUCCAGGCCUCAGUUUCCUCACCCGCGAACUAGGGGCGAUCUCUGGGGACUGUUCUAAGGGCCUGUCUUGUGUGACGCUGUGUGCCACCCCACACAUCUUCAGCCCCGGAGAAAGAUUCUGGUGGUGGAAGCUGUUGAGUAAAUGCUCACUUGAGUUUCUCCCACUGCCUUGGAGUCCCUCUUCUGUUUUUCUCCAAAUUCUCUUUGUUGACAGAGUACACAGUUCAAAACCCCACACAGGGAUGAACGAGAGGACGCCCAGGUCCAGCCCAGCAGCGGCUUCCUGUCCCCUCCACCCCUCUCUUUCCCUCUGCCACUGCCAUCUACCGGGACGCUCUUCCUGGGCCCCUGUGGGACAAGGACUGCCUGUGGCUGAGGUCCCCUCCAUGCAGAACAUACAGCACAGGUGUGCCCCAAAGAUGAACAGAGAGAAGGAGGAGGAGGGUCCAAGAGAGACUUGGAAAUGAAUGCCAGGAAGCUCAGGCGCUGGACUUGUGUUUGGGGCGCCUGGCCUUUCCUUGUGUAUUUCUCCUGCUGUCUGUAUAACCAUUUAAUGCAAUAAACG